AAUACUCAACUUCUACUUCUGUGGACAAACUACUAGGAUAAGUGGUAGGGAGUGCGGACGAAAGGCUCGGAGCAGAAGUUGUAAUUGGUGAGGAAGUAGUUGGCUGCAAGGUACUGGUAGCGAUUGUUGAAGGAGUCGAAUCAAUCGUAGUACUAUCUUGGGAGCUUCCUGAUGAUGAUGUAGAAGAAGACGUUAAAGAUACAGGUGUAGAACUCGUGAAUGACGAUGAAUCAAUUGUUUGUGUUGGAACAGAGCUAGUCGAAGAUUUCGUUUCAUAAAAUGUGGAUUCAGUUGGUGACACGGUGUUAGUCAAGGAUGAUGAUUCAAGCGUACUAGCACCGAUGUAGUUGAUAAC